rnacentral:snoRNA from 1 species
ACGGAGGUAAAGAAAGUGAAGCAAAUGAAGAUUGUUUCCUUCACUGAUACCCACCUCCAAAAUGAACUAGCAGAGAGAACGACCUUGGUUUGCAGUGAAAAGCCUUGGAUCGCUGCAUCUGCUUACAAAA